ACGUAGGGGCCUAGCGUUGUCCGGAUUUAUUGGGCGUAAAGAGCUCGUAGGCGGUUUGGUGAGUCGGGUGUGAAAUCUCCACGCUCAACGUGGAGGGGCCACCCGAUACUGCCAUGACUAGAGUCCGGUAGGGGAGUGUGGAAUUCCCGGUGUAGCGGUGAAAUGCGCAGAUAUCGGGAGGAACACCAGUAGCGAAGGCGACACUCUGGGCCGGUACUGACGCUGAGGAGCGAAAGCGUGGGGAGCAAACAGGAUUAGAUACCCUGGUAGUCCACGCUGUAAACGUUGGGCACUAGGUGUGGGACUCUAUCGACGGGUUCCGUGCCGUAGCUAACGCAUUAAGUGCCCCGCCUGGGGAGUACGGCCGCAAGGCUA
rnacentral:rRNA from 1 species